rnacentral:rRNA from 1 species
CGUACACUCCUACGGGAGGCAGCAGUGGGGAAUAUUGGACAAUGGGCGCAAGCCUGAUCCAGCCAUGCCGCGUGAGUGAUGAAGGCCCUAGGGUUGUAAAGCUCUUUCACCGGUGAAGAUAAUGACGGUAACCGGAGAAGAAGCCCCGGCUAACUUCGUGCCAGCAGCCGCGGUAAUACGAAGGGGGCUAGCGUUGUUCGGAUUUACUGGGCGUAAAGCGCACGUAGGCGGACUAAGUCAGGGGUGAAAUCCCGGGGCUCAACCCCGGAACUGCCUUUGAUACUGGUAGUCUUGAGUUCGAGAGAGGUGAGUGGAAUUCCGAGUGUAGAGGUGAAAUUCGUAGAUAUUCGGAGGAACACCAGUGGCGAAGGCGGCUCACUGGCUCGAUACUGACGCUGAGGUGCGAAAGCGUGGGGAGCAAACAGGAUUAGAUACCCCAGUAGUCCCA